AAUGGCCGUUCUUUUCUUUCAUCACUGAUAAUUUUGAUUAAGAACGUUUUGAGCCUGGAGACAACUUGGCCUUUGUGACAGUACGCAGCAUUCAUUGGAAUGAAGCGUAAGAGAAUAAUUAGGUCGGCACUAGGUACAACAAACAUGAAUCAAAGUCUUUCGAGUUAGCAUGAUCCCAGAAGCUUUUGUCAGCUUAUAAUUCAAGAAAGCCAGUACUCUGGUGAUUGGCAGAUCCUAUGCUAAAUGCAAUAUCUAAGUGCAGCGAAGAUUAACAACCUAAAGUGCGCUGUUGAUUCUAAUUCCUGAGAACAGGCCCCGGUUGCUUGCUAACUUGGAGACUUUGGGAUUAUUAACAGCAUAGAGAAACUUAUUAGCAAUCAAAGCAGCCGAAUUUUGCGUGCGUUGAUUAGUUUCUGGACUCAUCAAUAGGGUGGAGGCUACAGUGAUGAAGCGAAAAAGGAGGAUCAGAAUAAGAGCCAUUGAGG
rnacentral:misc_RNA from 1 species